CCAGAUCUGCUUCACAAGCUUCUGUGUUGAGUAACAUCUCUAACGUUACUCGCAGGACAAAGUUACUGACAAAAUAUGGGAGCUUUACUUGCAAACCCAUGUGAGAUUGCUGUAUGAUUCAUCUGCUCCAUGAAAAUGACCACCUCUGCAGAUGAUUUAUUUAGUUCCCAGAUAUGUGUAUAUUCUAUAAUCUAUCACAAUUGCUUCCUCUCCUCUUCGUGAAGAUUGUGCUUUGUGUGGCAGCAUGCAAUAAUGCAGAAUAUGAAACUGAUGGAGAGUGUUGCCCGAUGUGUGAUCCAGGUAAGUCCUGGAUAAGAUUGCUCUU